UGCGUAGGUGGUUGUUUAAGUCUGUUGUGAAAGCCCUGGGCUCAACCUGGGAACUGCAGUGGAAACUGGAUGACUAGAGUGUGGUAGAGGGUAGCGGAAUUCCCGGUGUAGCAGUGAAAUGCGUAGAGAUCGGGAGGAACAUCCAUGGCGAAGGCAGCUACCUGGACCAACACUGACACUGAGGUGCGAAAGCGUGGGGAGCAAACA
rnacentral:rRNA from 1 species